rnacentral:rRNA from 1 species
UACGAAGGGGGCUAGCGUUGCUCGGAAUCACUGGGCGUAAAGGGUGCGUAGGCGGCUUGUUAAGUCAGGGGUGAAAUCCUGGAGCUCAACUCCAGAACUGCCUUUGAUACUGGCGAGCUUGAGUCCGGGAGAGGUGAGUGGAACUGCGAGUGUAGAGGUGAAAUUCGUAGAUAUUCGCAAGAACACCAGUGGCGAAGGCGGCUCACUGGCCCGGUACUGACGCUGAGGUGCGAAAGCGUGGGGAGCAAACAGG